ensembl:miRNA
GGGAGGAAUGUACAAGGAAGUGGCUUGGGGAAAGAGGGGUUUGGAUCCCCUGACACCGGUCCACUUCCUUUCCC